rnacentral:lncRNA from 1 species
AAGAAGAGUAACCCGUGCUGUGUUUAACAGCAGGGUUUUUGUUUAGCCGUCACUCAGGGUAUUUCGUGCAGGCAGAUCAUCAGGCAGCCUCCUGUAGGGGGUCCUUAAAAACACGGAAGCAUGCCAGUGUUUACAGGCGAGUGGAAGAACACGUGUGUGUGUGUGUGUGUGUGUGUGUGUGUGAGAGCAGCUGCGCUGAUCAGCAGAGGGAAGGACAGCUGUUAUAACAUGCUGCAGUGUGUGUCUGCUGGUCACUAUCAUGGCUCUCGCGAACCUCAUGCCUCACACACAUGGUGAAAUCUGACCGGUUACUGACCCCAACAACGGAGAAGCAGCGUGUUGAGGCCUUGUCUGUGGGGGCCAUUCUGUCCAACUACCAGAGAGUACGUGUGGAAAAUGUGUAAGUGGACCUCUCUAUCUUGUUUCUCCUUUCCAUUUCUCACACAUGCAUAUAGAACCGUGCAUCAUUUUGGAUUAUUAAAUUAAUAAUUAAUUAAUAUAUCAAAUGCAUAAAUGCUCAUAUAAUCAGGAAGUAUUAUAUUUGGUAACUCUGUUUUUGCCAUGAAGCUAUCAUCAGAAGCUGUGGCAUUCAAAUCUGUAUUAUACUAUACUAAUGAUCAGGCUCAUUUGUCUCCCUGUUCUUCAAAUUAAACCCAAAGUGUUUGAAUUGUAUCUAUAAAAUAAACACAUUUAUUGAAAAUUAUUAAGAUUAACCCAAUGUUUGUUUCAAAGGGGUCAUAUGAUGUGAUUUCAAUUUUUUGUUUCUCUUUGGAGUGUUACAA